GAUCGACCUCGGAUCAGGUAGGGAUACCCGCUGAACUUAAGCAUAUCAAUAAGCGGAGGAAAAGAAACCAACAGGGAUUGCCUCAGUAACGGCGAGUGAAGCGGCAACAGCUCAAAUUUGAAAUCUGGCCCCCCGGGGCCCGAAUUGUAAUUUGCAGAGGGUGCCUCGGGUGCGGUGCCGGUCUAAGUUCCUUGGAACAGGACGUCCCAGAGGGUGAGAAUCCCGUACGUGACCGGCGGCCAAGCCCGCGUGGGGCCCCUUCGACGAGUCGAGUUGUUUGGGAAUGCAGCUCAAAAUGGGUGGUAAAUUUCAUCUAAAGCUAAAUACCGGCCGGAGACCGAUAGCGCACAAGUAGAGUGAUCGAAAGAUGAAAAGCACUUUGGAAAGAGAGUCAAACAGUACGUGAAAUUGUUGAAAGGGAAGCGCUUGCAACCAGACUUGCCCGCGGGUGAUCAGCCGUCCCUCGGGGCGGUGCACUCGCCCGCGAUCAGGCCAGCAUCGGUUUCGGCGGCCGGACAAAGGCCCCGGGAAUGUGGCUCCCCCCGGGGAGUGUUAUAGCCCGGGUCGCAAUGCGGCCAGCCGGGACCGAGGACCGCGCUUCGGCUAGGAUGCUGGCGUAAUGGUUGUCAGCGACCCGUCUUGAAACACGGACCAAGGAGUGUAACAUCUAUGCGAGUGUUUGGGUGUCAAACCCAUGCGCGCAAUGAAAGUGAACGGAGGUGGGAACCCCCCCCCCCCGGGGGAGCACCAUCGACCGAUCCUGAUGUCUUCGGAUGGAUUUGAGUACGAGCAUAGCUGUUGCGACCCGAAAGAUGGUGAACUAUGCCUGAAUAGGGUGAAGCCAGAGGAAACUCUGGUGGAGGCUCGCAGCGGUUCUGACGUGCAAAUCGAUCGUCAAAUUUGGGUAUUGGACUAAUCGAACCAUAGU
rnacentral:rRNA from 1 species